rnacentral:rRNA from 1 species
AGCGAACGCUGGCGGCAGGCCUAACACAUGCAAGUCGAGCGCUCGUAGCAAUACGAGAGCGGCAGACGGGAGAGUAACACGUGGGAACGUACCCUUUGGUUCGGAACAACACAGGGAAACUUGUGCUAAUACCGAAUAAGCCCUUACGGGGAAAGAUUUAUCGCCGAAGGAUCGGCCCGCGUCUGAUUAGCUAGUUGGUGGGGUAAUGGCUCACCAAGGCGACGAUCAGUAGCUGGUCNGAGAGGAUGACCAGCCUCAUUGGGACUGAGACACGGCCCAAACUCCUACGGGAGGCAGCAGUGGGGAAUCUUGCGCAAUGCGCGAAAGCGUGACGCAGCAACGCCGCGUGGGGGGAAGACGGCCUUC